CCUACGGGAGGCAGCAGUGAGGAAUAUUGGUCAAUGGGCGAGAGCCUGAACCAGCCAAGUAGCGUGAAGGAUGAAGGUCCUAUGGAUUGUAAACUUCUUUUAUAGUAGAAUAAAGUGACCUACGUGUGGAAUUUUGUAUGUAUACUAUGAAUAAGGAUCGGCUAACUCCGUGCCAGCAGCCGCGGUAAUGAGU
rnacentral:rRNA from 1 species